UGACCACAACCCUUACAAUUCCUGGACGCUUAUGAAGAGCAUGCAGAGAGAAGGACUGCUAUGCUUGAGUCCCUGGUAAGGCCAGAUCUGGAGAGAUGGCGGCGACUUAAGGAGAGGCGGAGAAGGUCCUUCGAAAAAAAGAUGGUGACCAGCUUGGGAACAAUUGUGGAGGAGCUAAAAAACAUGGGGAAAAGACAAGAGCAAAUUAUGCAUCUGUAACCCCCCAUAAGAAGUUCUGAUAGGAAUGUAACUUUUAUCAUUUCUAAGGUUAAUCAUUUAUUAUAUUAUAUUAUAUUGUCACUUAUUAUAUUCCUCCAAUCAUAAUUCUGCAUAAAACCUGAAUUUAGAAAAUCUGCCUAGCAACUGUUGAGCAGUCCUGAACAGGUACUUGUGAUUGGUUAAAUAUUUCAAGCUCCGCCCCUGCUAAAUACACAGAAUGGGUGUGAGAGAGUGCACUACAAUACAGUCCAGAUAGAUGGUCUGAAAAAGUCUUUGGACUUUUGUCAGAGCCGAUCAGCCCUAUACGCUCACUACACUACGCAAGCUGCGUAGGGCCCCGCAAAUUACUCAAGGCCCCGCCUCCUCCUCGUGUCAUAGCGCGUCACGUCACCGUCAAUUAAUGUUUACAACAUCCAUGACAAAAUGAAGCGAAACUUUCCUUCUGGUCACGAAAAGAGGAAAAAAAAAAAAACCCAUGAAAGUGAACUGCGGGAACAACAAUCAGUUUCUUCUAGACAGUCCAAAUAGACUGGUGUUGCCCAUACUGAUGCCGAAAAUGCCCAGGCUGUAGAGAGAACCUAAAUUAAUCCUAAAAGCCAAAGCUCAGAGUUAUAAUUUAUUAUUUUCUUCUUAUUUAUGUUUACGUUAAUAUUCACUUACUUAAUAAUAUUCACUUGUUAUCUUAAUAUUCUAUAGGAAAUACUCUAUUCAAUAAAUAUUGUUUGUUUGAACCUCAUUCUGUUCUAUAUUGUUGUUCUAUAUUGUCGACUGUUUUGUUUAAAGGAGGGAGGAUUGUAUUGGGAUCACUGAAGUGUCAGGUGUGACUGUGUGGCAAUGGCAAAUGGUUUACAUAGCUCACGGCGUCACGGGUCAGUUAGAGGGCCCCUUAGCAGAAUUUUGCUUAGGGCCCCAGGGAGGUCAGGAUCGGCACUG